UGGGGAAUAUUGCACAAUGGGGAAACCGUAGCAUGCAGCGACGCCGCGUGAAGGAUGAAGUAUUUCGGUAUGUAAACUUCUAUCAGCAGGGAAGAAAAUGACGGUACCUGACUAAGAAGCCCGCUACUACGUGCCAGCCAGCCGCGGCUGAAUAAUCGUAGGGGCAAGCGGGUUAAUUCCGGAUUUACUGGGUGUAAAGGGAGCGUAGACGGCAUGGCAAGUCUGAAGUGAAAGCCCGGGGCUCAACCCGGACGUGCUUUGGAAACUGUCAGGCUAGAGUGCUGGAGAGGUAAGUGGAAUUCCUAGUGUAGCGGUGAAAUGCGUAGAUAUUAGGAGGAACACCAGUGGCGAAGGCGGCUUACUGGACAGUGACUGACGUUGAGGCUCGAAAGCGUGGGAGCAAACAGGAUUAGAUACCC
rnacentral:rRNA from 1 species